UCGUGCUAGAUGGGGAGUUAGCGGUGCCCUGUACCUGCAAUCCGCUAUAGCAGGAUUGAAUUCCUUGCUUAGGCUGUAAGCUGUUGGGUCUGGCCCAUACAAGUGACGUUGAUAGCCGGGUCCCACGCAACGGAAACUCAUGAACCCCGUCAGGUCCGGAAGGAAGCAGCGGUAAGUGAUACUUUUCGUGUGCCGUGGAAAAACCUAGUUUGAGUUAACUAUAUGGGUAACGCUUAUAGUUUAUUAGACGAGGCAAGGUGCACGA
rfam:Clostridium tyrobutyricum DIVETGP, WGS project CBXI01000000 data, contig: NODE_25